AUUAAGCGAGAAAGGUCAAGAAACAUUUCGACUAUAUUGCAACAACGUCGUAAAAUUAAUGCAAUAUAGCCGAAAUGGCUUCUUGGUUUUUCUUUGCAUUGCCACGAGUCUCAAUGUGGCUCGAGACUCCUAUUUGACCCAAAGGUGGAGGUGGAUUUUGCGGCCAGAGCAGCCUGAAAGAAAGUGAAAAUAACGACGCUGAACGUGACAUCGGAGCAGCGAGGGAAUCCUGCGUAGCUGACAUUCCGAGCAGCCUGAGAGGAGGAGGAGGCCUAGGAUAGGCAUCGGGCAUCAACGUACCAACACUUCUGAAAAUAUUGACGCUGGAAGGACCAUCAGCUUCGCAUCGAGGGAACACGAUGGACAUCUCGAGCAGCCUGAGAGGAAGUAUUCACAUUAGCUCAAUAUUGUGCAGGAACUUGAUUAUCUCUUUCGGAUCUCACGUCAUUAAUUCUUUAUUUCUCAUCCUUUUGAGACUCGAUAUGCGAAACGAUAUCGAAAAAAAUGGGUCUUAGAUUUUUUCAGUUUGCGUUAGUCAAU